GAUGAACGCUAGCUACAGGCUUAACACAUGCAAGUCGAGGGACCGGCGCACGAGUGAGUCACACGUAUCCAACCUGCCCUUUACUCGGGGCUAUCCUUUCGAAAGAAAGAUUAAUACCCGAUAUAAAGGAUGGGGAUGCGUUCCAUUAGGUUGUUGGUGAGGUAACGGCCCACCAAGCAUUCGAUGGAUAGGGGUUCGGAGAGGAAGGUACCCGACAUCGUAGAUGAGGCCCGGUACAAACUGGUAUGGGGGGCAGAAGUAACGAAUAUUUGUGAAGGGAGGCUAGCCUGAACCAGCCAAGUGGCGUGAAUAAUGUAGGCUUAUGGGUCUUAAACUGCUAUUAUAUAAGAAUAUGUAUUAUAUGAAUAAGGAACGGCUAACUACGUGCCAGCAGCCGCGGUAAUAC
rnacentral:rRNA from 1 species